rnacentral:rRNA from 1 species
UACGAAGGGGGCUAGCGUUGCUCGGAAUCACUGGGCGUAAAGCGCACGUAGGCGGAUUGUUAAGUCAGGGGUGAAAUCCUGGAGCUCAACUCCAGAACUGCCUUUGAUACUGGCGAUCUCGAGUCCGGGAGAGGUGAGUGGAACUGCGAGUGUAGAGGUGAAAUUCGUAGAUAUUGGGAAGAACACCAGUGGCGAAGGCGGCUAACUGGUCCAGCACUGACGCUGAGGUGCGAAAGCGUGGGGAGCAAACAGG